UGGUGAGGGUGGCGGCUAGCUGAGUGGGGGCUACCCGAGUGACACGGGUGCAAGGUUUAGUAGUCGGUCCCCGCCGCCGAGGUCGCUAGGGCGGGGAAGAGGCUGCCCACCGUGCGGGCUGUGAAAGCGCUUUGGUAAUUGAAGCGCUGUGUUUUUGUGAGGCGUUCUGGUCCUUGUCGUGUCAGCGCUUAGGGUCGCUUGUUGACACCAGAGCUCGGGUUUGGGACCACCUGCUUUUGGAUGUGGGAAGAGGUGAUGUUCUAAUCAUGUCAGAUAAAGAUGGUAUUGAGACACCAGUGGUAACUGAAGCAAACUUCAUCCAUGAAGAUGGAAACUGUGAGCCAGCUGAGAAUUCUGAGUCUGUUGACCAAAGUGCCAAGCCAGAGAGUAAAUCAGAACCUGUAGUGUCUACUCGGAAAAGACCAGAGGUCAAACCUUCCAGUGACCUUGAGACUUCAAAAGUUCUCGCUGCUCAGGAGGCUGUUUCCAAAGAUGUACCGCAGACCAGUUGGGGCUACUGGGGCAGCUGGGGCAAGUCCUUACUCUCCUCAGCCUCAGCUACAGUAGCCACAGUGGGACAAAGUAUUUCAAAUGUCAUU